UUUAACAAUCUUACCAGACCGACAGAAGAAGAAAAGGAAACACCUCAAAGCCCUGGGGGUGCCAAUUCGGGGUGGCUGAAGAACUGACUCUGGAUCAGGGUGUGAGCCUGUGUUGCAAAGUCCAAGGAGAAGAAAUCAAAUACGGAGCUUCCUUUUUAUAAUUAAACUUUCUGUGUUACUUCUGCAAGACUUUUUCAGUCCAUGUCCUUUGGGAAGGUUUUCAGUCUUGCAGCAUUGAAUUCUCCCCCUAACAUGAGAUGAAUUCACAUCCUGCUUGGCCAGCGUUGCAUAAUCUGUUGUCACCGUGAUGUAUUGACCCGAUCUGUCAGCAUUAUUAAAAAUGUGCGUCUCCUUGCUGGUGUUGUACCAUAACUUCUAGGGGCCAUCUUGAAGUUUUGUCACCCAGGGGAUGCAGUCACUGCUUCUCCCUGGGACCACUGGGGACACAGGGGCCCCUGCUCUACUCAGUUGUCCUGGGUGACCCCAGGGCUGAGAUGCCCUAUUCUGGGACAAUGCCUGCUUUUUCCCAGAUUGGCUGACGCAGAGUUCCCUGCAUUUAUUCUUUCCUGCUCUCACAGAGAGAAAGAAGCACAUCUCUAUCCUUCGUGAACAGAUACAGAAUUAGUAGAAGAAACAAAAGACCUAUUUAUACGAAAUGCCCUACUUACUAAAGUCAAUACAGAUUAACAUAUCCCAUUAUAUUCAUCUUCCUUUUGAUCUACUGACCACUCCUCUGUGCACUUUUAAAGUUUUUUGAGUAUUGCAAUGAAUCCACAUUCUCUCUCUGGCUCAACCUGUUCUAAUUAAUCCCCAAAUUGUCAAGCCUUGGCCCGGGAGCCCCGUGUUUUGGCUCCCUUGUCCUUGCAGCACUGCCCCUGAGAUUCCUGCUUUCUGGCAACAACAAGAUGUUCCAGACCCAUCGUGAUUUUUUCUUCCUGCCUCAAGAUACGGAAUCAGCUGUCCUCCAUGGAAUCCUCAUUGCUGUUAGUGGAGCAUGAAACCGGAGAGCACAACCUAGGUGACAAGGUAACGGUGAUGGGGACUCAGAACCAAGAUGACAGAGGAUUUAGAGCAAGCCCUGGCCAUUCCAGAAGAUGGUCUCUGCCUCCCCAGGUUCUUCUGGUAGAUUCUGGAGCCUCUGGAGGAAUCACACAGGUGCCAAUCCAAGAGCUGAAUUGUGAAACGGCUAGAGGCGUCUCCACACAUGCCAUGUGUUGGAUUGGGACUCAGGACCCUGGAGCUGGAUUCAUAUUCUGGUGCCACCGUGUAUUUCGUGUCCUCAGGCAAGUACCUUGUCCUCUGAGCUGCAGAAUCCUCAGGGGCAGAGUGAGGGCUUUGGGCCUGAUGAGCGGCUUUCACACCCAUGCGCAGUGGGAUCUCCAGGAGACCUAUCGGAACCAAACCACAAGAUGCCCAGGCACCCAGAAAGUCUAAGUUCAUUGGUGUGGCUUGAGGUUUGGGCGUGGGGAUUGCUUUCAAGUUCCCUAGAUCACCUUUUUCCAAAGUUGGCUGCACCUUGGAGUCACGUGGGGCAUUUUAAAGAUUUCUGAUGGCGUGUGUCCCACACCCAGCGACUCUGACAUAGUUAAGCAGUUGCUGUGGGGUGAAGUCUGGACAUCGGUGGGUUUCAGAGCUCUGUAGGUGAUCCUAAUGCACAGCAAAAACACACGUCACCUGGAAACAUCUGACAGGAGGACUGCAUUACUCCGGCCCUGCUUCUGCGGCUUUGUCAGACUCUCAUUCCUGCUCAGAAAGGGCCCUGGUGGGCUCGGGGACAGGAGUGGCCAGCAAUGCCCGGGGCAGUUUCGAAGCUGAGAUCCCUGGGAUGGGCAGAUGGCCCCAGGAAAGAGCCGGCUGGACACAGGCUGCGACCGGCCAUGCGCUCGUGGCCAUUACGCCUCCAGGAACACCCGCAGACACGCAGGAGAGAGAAGGGCAAGAGCAGCAAAUGCGGCUAAUGCUGGAGACUCGGGGUUUGGGUCUCGGUGUGGACACUGGGGGAUCCCGGAUGAGUCCCUCUCCCUCUCCACUGACUCGUUUUCUUCAUACGUAUUUCCCACCAUUUAUCAAGCCCUCUGCUGAGCCCUGAAGAGAAAAGAUGAAUUGGUGUAGGGCCAGCUGGAAAGGGCACAGGAGGGGAGCAGUCAGGCAGAGGCUCGGGGCUGUAAAGGGUGGGAUGACAGGGGUGCAGGGAGGGGGCUGGCGGGGCCAAGUCUCCCCUCGUGAGCGACACUCAGGAGCUUGGGCCUCAUCCUGGUGACCCUCUUUGCCACACAUAUGAGCAUCGCAGUCGCAGGACGAACGGUGCUGCCCUCUGCCUCCACCUGCUGUCACGGGACCCCACUUCAAGGUACCAUAAUUCUGGGUGCGGGGACAGAGCCCCAGAGAGCAGUCUCCAGGCUCUCGGCCUCACGUGGAAAGGUGCUGGCUCGGGUACUGGAUGGCCAUUGGCUGUGACUGGUUGGCCGUCAGCUGUAACCGGUUAGCCAAUUGGCCACUGAUGUAACUGCUGCGCCUGCGCUGGUUGGUUGGUUGGUGGUCAGGCAGAGAAGCAGGCGGCCGGUUGCGGGUCAGGCGGCUCCUGCUUCCUGUGUGUCCAACCCAGCGGGCAGCGAGACUAUAGUGGUAUGACUCCCGUAUCUAUGGCUCCGGGGGUGUUCCUUUUUGGCUUCCCCAUAUCCUGCGUUCUCAUGCGGGGAGCAGGACUAGAGACCCCUCAUGACACGGGGUCCCCAGGGGUAUCCGUGCGGGCACUGUGUGCCUGCCCCACUCCUGCUGGGCCUUUCUCCCAGCCCCUGUGGAGGUGUCCACUGCCAAGUGCUCCCCAGAGCCCAGGCAGGGCCCCUGGCCCCUGUGGAUGGCAUCUCCGAGCGGUACCCCUCACGUGGGCCUCAGCCCGAGCGGCCUGCCCUCCGGGUCUGAUGGAGCGCUUAGGGAAAGCACUCCAUCCCUGAGUCUGGUGGCCUUCCUGCAGGGAUUCCCCAGAGGUGCCCGAGGCCACCCUAAGCCCUGCCUUUACCCUUUCUUCCUUUAGGACGAGUCCUUCCCAGGAGGCUUCAUGGGCCCUUCUAGAAAUGGGCCCCAGCAGACCCCCAGCACCCAGAAUCCUGGGACCCACACGUGCAGCUGGCACCAGGGAGCCUUCCAGACAGGA